rnacentral:rRNA from 1 species
AGAACGAACGCUGGCGGCAGGCUUAACACAUGCAAGUCGAACGCAUCCUUCGGGGUGAGUGGCAGACGGGUGAGUAACACGUGGGAACGUACCUUUCAGUUUGGAAUAACCCAGGGAAACUUGGGCUAAUACCGGAUACGCCCGUAAGGGAAGAUUGAUCGCUGAGAGAUCGGCCCGCGUCUGAUUAGCUAGUUGGUGAGGUAAAGGCUCACCAAGGCGACGAUCAGUAGCUGGUCUGAGAGGAUGAUCAGCCACACUGGGACUGAGACACGGCCCAGACUCCUACGGGAGGCAGCAGUGGGGAAUAUUGGACAAUGGGCGCAAGCCUGAUCCAGCCAUGCCGCGUGAAGGAUGAAAUCCCUCGGGAUGUAAACUUCGCAAGAACGGGAAGAAUAAGUAGGGACAAUACCCCCUAUGAUGACGGUACCGUUGUAAGCUCCGGCUAACUCCGUGCCAGCAGCCGC